GGGGGCAUGGCGGAAUGGUAGACGCAACGGACUUAAAGUUUUGGGCAUUGAGUGUGAAGUAUUCAACUAAGUAAGUUCUCAAAUUCAGGGAAAUCUAAGUUUUUUAAGUAAACUAAUAAGUAAUAAACAUAUUAUGUUCUAAGCUUUAAAGAGAUAAGACAAUCCUGAGCCAAAUUUUACACUAAAAAGAAAACGAUUUAGAUGCAAAAAAGGUGCAGAGACUCGACGGGAACUACCUUAAGAGGUAAAGAGAGAGUCCAAUUUCUAACUCGAUUUGAACGUAUGAUACGAGUGAUGAAAAUCAAAUAGAAAUGAAAAUCCGUUGACUGUAAAGUCGUGAGGGUUCAAGUCCCUCUGCCCCCA
rnacentral:tRNA from 1 species